UGGAAACAGUGGAAAAGUUCUUGACAAUCCUCCCCUACAACUUACAAAUUGAAUGCCAUUUGCGGACUGCCUUCUGACAAGGUAUAUGAAAUUAGAGUACAGCAAUAGCUACGUACAUACAGGGCACAAGGCAAAGGAAAUUGCAAUCAAAAUCCAAUAAUUAGAAGAAUGGAUCUCAGCAGCCAGUCUUUCAAUUUGCCUCCAGGGGCCUGCAAUUCAUCUGAGAAAUCAGCAAUGUUGCUGCCAGCAGCACCACCACCAGCAUACCAGGACAAUCCUGCUGGAUAUCCUCACUCCUUUCCAAGCCAGCCAAUCCCCCAGGGCCCCUACACCCAGGGGUCGUAUCCAGGACAAACUGUGGUCGCUGUACAGCCUGCAGUUUUUGUGACUGCUGCUCCACUGGCCAAUCCAGUGCCAGAUUACUUGGGUUACUCCAUCUUUACCAUGCUGUGCUGCUGUUUACCUCUGGGAAUUGCUGCGCUGAUUUACUCCUGCUCUGCGUGUCUGCACCGCAGCGAGAUAAAAACAUCUCAACUUUUCAGAAUGCACAAGAGAGAAGAGAAAGUGGCACGACUAGCAUUUUCCACGCAUUUUUA
ensembl:lncRNA